GCGAGUCGUGAUGCUGGUUUCACAGUAGGUCUCAUAAGCCUAUGUACAAGAGUUCGAUUCUCUUACUUCGCU
rnacentral:tRNA from 1 species